rnacentral:rRNA from 1 species
GACGAACGCUGGCGGCGUGCUUAACACAUGCAAGUCGAACGGAAAGGCCCUGCUUGCAGGGUACUCGAGUGGCGAACGGGUGAGUAACACGUGGGUGAUCUGCCCUGCACUUCGGGAUAAGCCUGGGAAACUGGGUCUAAUACCGGAUAGGAGCCAUCUUUAGUGUGAUGGUUGGAAAGUUUUUUCGGUGUAGGAUGAGCUCGCGGCCUAUCAGCUUGUUGGUGGGGUAAUGGCCUACCAAGGCGGCGACGGGUAGCCGGCCUGGGGGGGUGGACGGCCACAUUGGGACUGAGGUACGGCCCAGACUCCUACGGGGGGCAGCAGUGGGGAAUAUUGCACAAUGGGCGCAAGCCUGAUGCAGCGACGCCGCGUGGGGGAUGACGGGCUUCGGGUUGUAAACUCCUUUCGCUAGGGACGAAGCUUUUUGUGACGGUACCUAGAUAAGAAGCACCGGCUAACUACGUG